rnacentral:rRNA from 1 species
CCUACGGGAGGCAGCAGUGGGGAAUAUUGCACAAUGGGGGAAACCCUGAUGCAGCGACGCCGCGUGAGUGAAGAAGUAUUUCGGUAUGUAAAGCUCUAUCAGCAGGGACGCAAAUGACGGUACCUGAUUAAGAAGCCCCGGCUAACUACGUGCCAGCAGCCGCGGUAAUACGUAGGGGGCCAGCGUUCGCCGGAUUUACUGGGUGUAAAGGGAGCGUAGACGGGAUGGCAAGUCUGAAGGGAAAUGCCGGGGCUUAACCCCGGAACUGCUUUGGAAACUGUGCAGCUAGAGUGCAGGAGAGGUAAGUGGAAUUCCUAGUGUAGCGGUGAAAUGCGUAGAGAUUAGGAGGAACACCAGUGGCGAAGGCGGCUUACUGGACUGUAACUGACGUUGAGGCUCGAAAGCGUGGGGAGCAAACAGGAUUAGAUACCCGGGUAGUC